CCUCGUCUUGCCGUGUUGCGAGCGAAAUAGCAGCGCUAUCAACGACGUGCGGUGGAAGCGUCGCGAGCUCGUCUCUCGUAAGUGUUAAGACGCUAUGACACGCUGCAAGUACCACGAAACAUCAUUGUUACGCCGUAUCCAUACUCAUAACAAGUAUCGACAAGAAGAACGGUCGCGUGAAGGUUCUGUUUCAGACGCGUGACCAUCGUUUACAAUUGACAAUGCAGAACAACCAUUGAUGCUCUGACGUUUAUCCGUGUAUCAACCAUCAACAUUUCUACUCUCGUACUAUCCACCAGAAGAUACAAUGGGAUCUCAGAUUUGACUCAAGGCGAAGACGAGUUUUUUGUUUCAGAUGUCUAUCUACGACCAAUAGCGGCACGAAGCGACUCGGGUCUCCGUAAACUCCACGUCGCCAGUGAAGCGCACGACUUUGAUUCCCGACGAAAUUAAGCGGAAGAAAGUCACCAUCCCGUUUAUGCGCGUCUGUUUGACAAAAGUGAGAGAAACUAUCGAUCAUUCUUAUUUAUAGAUGUAAUGAUAAUGCAACGUGUAGAGUAAGAAUCAUCGAGUUAAAGGUUAUCAUUUCGCAUACGAAGACGGACCUCUCUUUGCUACAAUUGCCGUGUUGAGAUCGUGUUCGGUCGGACAAUAGUUUUUCUUCUUCUUCUUUUUAGAUUCGUCUCGUGUCCUUACGGAUAUGUUUCCUUUGAAGCACAGUAUCACGCUUUUCGUAUAUGCUUGCUAUUUUUUCACUCUCCGACGAACGUGUUCUUUUAGUUUCCACAAGAGUCUUAAUAAAUAACCAAGCUAUCUCGUAAUCCUCUUCGACGGACAAUAUUUACUCAACUGUAAUGAUAACAAUCGGAUAUGAUUGGUCUCGUCGUUGUGACUUCGGACUUCAGGAAGUGACAACUUAGGGAAUAAUGUGUGAUCCACAUGGUAGCCAAUCGUUUGUCUUUCUUACAGAAAAUAUCUGACUCUUUUUUCAGUGACUUUCGGAACGGCCGAAAAUUCCUAUGACAUUCUUAAGCCUGUAUCAGACUGCAAUUAAAUUUAUAGGUUAUAACACCUUUAUUACUUAUACAAUAUUUAAAUAAUUUAAUUGAAUAUAUAUAUAUAUAUAUAUAUAUAUAUAUAUAUAUAUAUAUAUAU